CCGUCGGUAGUACAACGUUUCAGCAUGCGCUCUCGGAAAGGGUAAGAUCUGGGUUUGAAUCCCGGCUGACGCA